AAUUAAUACUGGUGACUAAAAUCCAAUUGGUAUUUUAAUGCCACUUCAAAUCUAGCCACCUAAGGACAUGCCCCUUGGAGUUCCUACCCCCUUGUUAUACCAUUUGGAAGGUAAGCCUUUCGCUUCUCCUAUGUAGGACAGCCUGGUCUAAUUUUAAAGUCCAUUGUCGCCAUCUGGUCUGCUGCCUCGAGGAAAGGUUUAAAGGAAGCCACCUGAGAAGCGGAUAUCAUAUUUGGUUUGGAGAGCAACGAGGACCGAAGGAUCUCAAAUUCCACAGCAGCUUAGAUAAGGAUCUGCCCCAUGCCAACAGUGAACAGAAGAACGAAGCCAGACCCUGCCGGGUCCUUGCUGCUGUACCGCCUCCUCGCUGCCCUGCUCCCGGACAUCAAAGCUUAUUUUAGAGAGAACUGAUGUCGGUAACCAAUUGAAAUCCUGUUUCCUUUCCCACCGCCUGUAUCUCUUUAAAGAAAGAACUCCGUAACACAGGUAUAGUCGUCAGCACGUGUAUAAAA